rnacentral:rRNA from 1 species
GUCUACAGCCAUGCCACCUUGAACAAGCCCGAUCCCGUCUGAUCUCGGAAGUUAAGCAGGAUCGGGCCUGGUUAGUACUUGGAUGCGAGACCACCUAGGAAGACCAGGUGCUGUAGCGU